GAGAAAAAUGAAGAUAGAACUAUUGAGGGGUGUAAUCCAGACUCCAAAGACAGCAGAGUCCAAAGCUCAUGUUUUAAUCACCGUGCUAUUUCUUUGAGGAGAGGAAUGGGUCUUAUUCACUGUCGGCAGACUGGGUGUUUUAAGCUAUAGAGAAGUUGUACCAGCUGGAAAAAUUGAACUUUGCUCUUACUUAUUGAAGAAUGUCAUACUGGGCAGCCGAAAGCUCUAAACAAACAGAAUCUCCAAACUACAAGGAAUGGGUUUAACAUCUGUUGUUAAAUGUCACAGCAGGAAACGGAAUUUCUCUGCCAUUUGUAGAUAAGUUGUGUUUGAUUUGUUUGUCUAUUUGGAGAGAAAGGAUUUAAUACAAGUGUCCAUAAAACCUAUACUUCAAUUAGAAAGCAUUUCAGAUUCUAUCUUUUGGAAAGAGCAUUAAACAAAGAAAAAAAAAGGGGGGGGGAGGUAGAAAACCAAAUUAUUAAGCUAAGAUUAAGAUGUACAAAGAAUCUGGCAUCUUUUGUCUUUUGUUUAGGUAAAACAAACAACAACAACCACAAAAAGCCUUCAAUUUCCCUUACCCAUCUUUGGACUCACUGUCUGUAUUUGAAUGCAAGCCAGUUUAUAUCAGCAUUGGCUAAGAAGUCUGAGUGGUCACUUAACUACCAACAGAGCAUAAAAAAUGUGUUCAAGACACUGACUCCCCCAGAGAGCAAAGGCAAAAUUAUACCAAUAUGUCUGUUGUUUUUUCCUUCCCCUGUGCUACAUAAAACAAAUUUAUCUUGGAAUGGGCAGUAUUCAAUUUAACAUUGGAUCUCUUUGUGUUUCCAGGUCAGGCGGGAACACAUAUGCUCCUAGAGGAAAAUAAACUGCAAUGUAUUUUUAGCAUCCAUUGGAAGUGCUUUCAGCUGAAGAUAUUCUGCAGGAUCCAGACUAUUUCACUGAAGGCCAAAGGACUGGCCACAAUGUCACCUAGAAUUCUGGAACUUGUCCUCUGGUUCUAGAAAAAAGAAAGAAAAUCAUUCCAGAAAAAGACAAAUGAAAAACACCUGUAGAAUAGUCAUGACAAAUGGUGCUAACUGUAGCGCACCUGGCACUUUGAGAUGAAGCAUGUCCGGGAGGAGGGAAGAGGGGGCAUGAGAGGAUGUCCCCCAUUCCUUUUCUGCCUAAUGCUGAAGAAGUCUGUUCAAAGAACGAUGGAGCAGAAAAGGAAGAUGCCAGUUCACAGUUGCUACGUGUCCAUUUCAAAAUGGUUACCUAGCAACAGCUGGAGCCAGGAGCUACAAGGAGUCAUACCAGUGGCUUGGAGUGGAAAAGCUUACUGAGCUACAGACUUGCUCUACUAACCGUCUCGUCUGCGUGGUUUUUAAAAUAAGAAUCAGCUUUUGGGGUUAUGUGGGCUGAGGCACAACUGAUUGUCUGUUUUAUUUGUCCUCUCUCAUCUUCUGACAGGGUGAAGGGCUUGCUGUGUUUACAGAAAACCUCUCAUGGUGUGAAAAACAUCUGACAGCUUUUGAAGCCAAAACAGAAUCCCUUUUAAAGUUCCUAGAUGCCAGUGAUAGCACCUCUGUGAAUAUACAGCUUUAGGGGGAAAAAAAGUCCUCUUUUAAGUAAGAAAAUUAAAUUUCCUUAAACACACAGAAAAAGUUUGAAGAGUUUAAAUCAGUAUAAAAUUGAAAAUUUUUUACUAAAGUUAUCAUUCUAAGACCCCUCUAACCUAGCCUCCCAAGUUUUCAUCUGUUUAUGUUCAGUUCCAGAAAACCAAGACAAAUACCUAUAAAAAGAGAAAUGCAGGAUGUAUUACAGGGGUUGUGGCAUUUGGUAUUUAUAUUCUAUCAUUAAGCUGUACCUUUAUUUCCUUUGCGUACAGCCUCUUGCCUUGCUUAUGCCUAUUUUCUUUCUGUAUUUCAAAAUCGCAAAAAAUUUCAUCUAUAUGAUUACUUUGUAAACUCUUUGGGGCUCUAACCUCUCAAGAGGAAAACCUCUCAAUAGAGUUUAGAUAUUCAUCACACAUUCUGUUUGGGUUAGAAAUGAAAUUUCUAUUAAAAAUGAAAUUAGGGGUGCCUGGGUGACUCAGCUGGUUAAGCGUCCGACUUUUGGUUUUGGCUCAGGUUGUGAUCUCAGGGUGGCAGGAUCAAGCCCCACAUUGGGCUCCCAGCUCAGCGUGGAAUUCUGUUUAAGAUUCUUACCGCUCCUUCUCCAUCUGCUCCUCCAGGAGGAGGAGCAUGCACUUGUACGUAUGCUCUCUGUCUCUCUUAAAUAAAUAAAUAAAUAAAUAAAUAAAUAAAUAAAUAAAUAAAUAAAUAAAUAAAUAAAUAAAAUCUUAAAAAAAAUAAGUCACAGGGACUCAAAUAGAUAUUUAUAUUCCAAUGUUCAUAGCAGCUUUAUUCACAAUAACCAAAAAGUGGAACAACUCAGGUGUCCAUUAACAGACGAUGGAGAAAUAAGAUAUGGCAGAUAUAAAAAAUAGAAUAGUAUCCAGCCUUAAAAAGGGAUGAGAUUCUGAUGCAUGCUCCCACAUGGAAAAACCUUGAAGAUGUUAUGCUAAGUGAAAUAAGCCAAACACAAAAUAACAAAUAUUAUAUGAUUUCACUUAUAUGAGAUGCCUAGAAUAGUCAAAUUUGUAAAAACAGAAAGUAGAAUGGAGGUUUCUAAGAGUCAGGGGAGUGGACAAUGAGGAAUUAUUAUUCAGGGGGUAACAGAGUUCCAGUUUUGAAAGAUGAAAAUGUUCUGGAGUUGGAUAGUGGUAAUGGUUGCACAACAUUGUAAAUGUGGUUAAUGCUGAUCAACAGUAAAGCUGGAAAGGGUUAAAGAGUAAUUUCAGUUAUUCAGCAUUUCAGUAAUUUCAGUACCACAAUAAAAAAAAUUAAAUGUAUCGGGCUGAAUAUUAACAAUGCUCUGAUUUUUUUCCUUGUGCUUCAGUGUCCUAAUGGGACAUAAUUACAGGAGGAGAAAAAUCUGCUCUGGGUAUUGUGUAAUGUGCAUCCAUGUAUAGAAGAAUAAACCAUGUUUUCAAAAGAGCAAAAUCUUGCCCUGAUUUUUGCGAGAAAUUCUAAUAUCAGUUGAAUCAAAUUCUUUUUGUUGUUGUUGUUGUUGAGUGAAAGGAUGACUGUUUUGAGAGAAGAAGGGGCUGACAAUAUGUAUUCUAACAAAUAUCCAUUGUGUUUUUUUCUUGUUGGCCUUUUUCCUUCUAUGGCCAGACAUUUCUUAAAUUUGUCUAUCGUGAAGAACUAAAUAAAAUACAUUUAAAAGCCAGCAAGUCUUGAAAUUAUAUUUCGUUAUUGUUUCCAGGCAUAACUUUUGUAAACCAUAUAUGGCUUUUAUGAGUAAGCCUAUUCAGCAGUGUAAGUCCAAUACCGGAUUUUGCUUGUUUUCCCAUCUGUGCCCUAAACUGAGACCAGCGGUAACUGCUACAUAGAGAUACUGCUAUUUUAAUUAUAGUAUCAUGAGUUAAUCAUGAUUGAUCCCAAAUGAAGACCAAAUUAGACUUUGAGGCUCUUCU